rnacentral:lncRNA from 1 species
GGCCUUCAAGCGGCCAUGGAAGGUGGAGCACACAUUGACAAUGUUGUCUCUUCUCAUGAGCUUCCACUCCUUCUCCACGGGGGACUUCAGGUGGUGACAUUGCUGUGGCGUCAUCUGCAGGCAUUGGACUUGUUUUACCACCAUAUAGAUUAAUCCAGAGGUUUCCGAGUCUUUUAUGAUCUUUCUGACCCUGUAUACGGUGUGCAUCUUGAUCCCAAUAAACUUGACAAUUUCAGAAAGGAUAGAGGCAAUUGCAAUUGAUCAUUCGAAAGCUUAAAAAGUAAGCUGUGGCUUGAAACAUCAGACAUUUAUGAAUGAAUUACAACCGCUAUACCUCGAAAAAUUAAUCAUUAAUAGUGGUACAUCCAUUUCGCACCACCCGGUAAGUAAGCAAUGAGAAUUGUAGUUUUUAUUCUGAUCUCUGUUAAAAGAUAUGUUGUCUAUCUUGAGGUAAUACACUCUAUUUCACUAGAAACCAUACAUCAUACUCGAUGAUAAAUAGGACAUUGACAAGUUUAUCGAGAAAUUUAGGAAUAUAGGUAGAGAAUCAGUCACCAGAUUUGCAAUUUGUUAUAAGUAUUUAAUAGUAUGUUGGAUAAAAUACAGGGUAAAUACUCAAUUAUCAAAAACUAUCAUAUUACACUCAACUAAAA